GAGUUUGAUCAUGGCUCAGGACGAACGCUGGCGGCGUGCUUAAUACAUGCAAGUCGAGCGAGGCCUUGGAAUUGGAGUCCUUCGGGAUGAAGAGUCCUUGGCCUAGCGGCGGACGGGUGAGUAACGCGUGGGCAACCUACCCCAAAGUCCGGGAUAACAGUGGGAAACCGCUGCUAAUACCGGAUGGCUUUACCUGAGGGCAUCCUUGGGUAAAGAAAGGUUACGCUUUGGGAUGGGCCCGCGUCCCAUUAGCUAGUUGGUGAGGUAACGGCUCACCAAGGCGACGAUGGGUAGCCGGCCUGAGAGGGUGAACGGCCACACUGGGACUGAGACACGGCCCAGACUCCUACGGGAGGCAGCAGUAGGGAAUAUUGCGCAAUGGGCGGAAGCCUGACGCAGCGACGCCGCGUGAGCGAAGAAGGCCUUCGGGUCGUAAAGCUCUGUCCUUGGGGAAGAAGGCGAAAGCUUGACGGUACCCAAGAAGAAAGCCCCGGCUAACUAC
rnacentral:rRNA from 1 species